rnacentral:sRNA from 1 species
UAUUUCAUCUGAUGGAUACUUCUGAUUUGUGAUUUUUUUUUUAAAAACUUUUAAUUAGGUUUUGAAAGAUCAUUAACGAUCGCGAGACUUUACGAUUGAGGGGAUUUUGUUUGGAUGGUCGUAGCAUCACCGACGGUGGAGGAUGGCGGUAGAUACGGAGGGCGGUGGAGAGCCGUGAGGGAUGAAGUUACGGAGGAAGCGGUGGUCGUGGCUGGUAAUCGUA